CAGCCGCCGCGGUAAUACGUAGGUGGCAAGCGUUGUCCGGAAUUAUUGGGCGUAAAGGGCUCGCAGGCGGUUUCUUAAGUCUGAUGUGAAAGCCCCCGGCUCAACCGGGGAGGGUCAUUGGAAACUGGGAAACUUGAGUGCAGAAGAGGAGAGUGGAAUUCCACGUGUAGCGGUGAAAUGCGUAGAGAUGUGGAGGAACACCAGUGGCGAAGGCGACUCUCUGGUCUGUAACUGACGCUGAGGAGCGAAAGCGUGGGGAGCGGACAGGAUUAGAUACCCCUGUAGUCCCUGUCUCUUAUAC
rnacentral:rRNA from 1 species